rnacentral:lncRNA from 1 species
GAAUAAUUCCACAUUAGGACAUUUUUUUAUUUCGAGUGGUAAAUUAUUCCAUACUUUGGUUGCAGAAUAAUGAAAAGAUUUUUUUAUAAAAAUUUGUAUUUGGUCUUGGAACAAAAAGAUCAUUAUUAGAGACAGAUCGUAAGUUGUGGCGUUGCACAUCAUCAAUAUUUAGUAUUGCUAAGUAAUCAGGUGUUAGCCCAUUUACAAUUUUAUACAUUAGAAUUGAUUGUUGGUAUUUUAUUCUUUUGGUAAAAG